AUGUUAUAUGAGAAGGUAAAACAUGUGCAUAAGGUCUUGAGGUGUCCAUGGCGUCCAUCUCGCAUGUGUACGUACUUACGUGUUCUUCCAGGGUCUAAACUGCCAGUAAGUAAUACUAUUGCAAAGUGCAAACAGCUGCAUGUACAUGUUGACAGGCUUUCUUUCAGCCAACAGGCAGUUCUUCUCUUCAGAGCUCUACAGUUUAGAUGCAGGCAACAGUUCACCACAAAGUUCCAAGCUAGCACGGCCACACACAGCACUCAGAAACAACCAGUACAAUCCAAUCUUGUAGGCAAGUACAUGAGCAGGUUAGUUAGGAGUCUCUUUUUACUGCAAGGACAUGUCGGCAUCAGGCUGAAACUGAAGGAGAUCUCCUGA
rnacentral:rRNA from 1 species